rnacentral:rRNA from 1 species
UUUAUGGAGAGUUUGAUCCUGGCUCAGGACGAACGCUGGCGGCGUGCCUAAUACAUGCAAGUCGAGCGGAUCUCUGAAGGAGCUUGCUCCUGAUGAGAUUAGCGGCGGACGGGUGAGUAACACGUAGGCAACCUGCCUGCAAGACCGGGAUAACAUUCGGAAACGGAUGCUAAGACCGGAUACGCAGUUUCCCCGCAUGGGGAGACUGGGAAAGACGGAGCAAUCUGUCGCUUACAGAUGGGCCUGCGGCGCAUUAGCUAGUUGGUGAGGUAACGGCUCACCAAGGCGACGAUGCGUAGCCGACCUGAGAGGGUGAACGGCCACACUGGGACUGAGACACGGCCCAGACUCCU